rnacentral:sRNA from 1 species
ACAAACAAGCAAACAAAU